AGGUAGCAUUGCUGUGCUUUGUUGUUGGAGUUUUGGGGGCAAAAGCUGAGCAGUUGAGCACGAAAGAGUGUGAAAAUCUCGGGUUUACGGGUUUAGCUCUAUGCUCCGAUUGUAGGACUCUUGCUGAGUAUGUCAAAGAUCAAGAGUUGGUGUCUGAAUGUUUGAGCUGUUGCACAGAAGACUCUGAUGAUGCCAUGAGUAAGGUUGUUUAUUCUGGAGCAGUUUUGGAAGUCUGCAUGAGAAAACUAGUUUUCUAUCCCGAAGUCGUUGGGUUCAUUGAAGAAGAGAAAGACCAAUUCCCUUUUGUAAAAGUUCAAUAUGCA
rnacentral:misc_RNA from 1 species